rnacentral:rRNA from 1 species
UACGAAGGGGGCUAGCGUUGUUCGGAAUCACUGGGCGUAAAGCGCACGCAGGCGGAUUGAUAAGUUAGAGGUGAAAGCCCAGGGCUCAACCCUGGAAUUGCCUUUAAGACUGCAUCGCUUGAACAUCGGAGAGGUAAGUGGAAUUCCGAGUGUAGAGGUGAAAUUCGUAGAUAUUCGGAAGAACACCAGUGGCGAAGGCGACUUACUGGACGAUUGUUGACGCUGAGGUGCGAAAGCGUGGGGAGCAAACAGG